GGGGAUCUAGCUCAGCGGCAUAAGCGCCUGCCUUGCAAGCAGGCAGUUGUGAGUUCGAUCCCCG
rnacentral:tRNA from 1 species